rnacentral:rRNA from 1 species
AGAGUUUGAUCAUGGCUCAGAAUGAACGCUGGCGGCGUGCUUUACACAUGCAAGUCGAGCGAGGCGGCCCGCAAGGGUCAGUCGAGCGGCGAACGGGUGAGUAACGCGUGGAUUAUCUACCCUGAGGUGGGGGAUAACCCGGGGAAACUCGGGCUAAUACCGCAUAUGACCGCGAGGUCAAAGGGGGGUCGCAAGAUCUCUCGCCAUAGGAGGAGUCCGCGUUCGAUUAGCUAGUUGGUAGGGUAAUGGCCUACCAAGGCGACGAUCGAUAGCCGGCCUGAGAGGGUGAUCGGCCACACUGGAACUGAGACACGGUCCAGACUCCUACGGGAGGCAGCAGUGGGGAAUUUUGCGCAAUGGGCUAACGCCUGACGCAGCAACGCCGCGUGGAGGAUGAAGGUCUUUGGAUUGUAAACUCCUGUCGACCGGGAAAAAGCAACCCGACCUCAUACGUCGGGAAGUUGAUUGUACCGGUGGAGGAAGCCCCGGCUAACUCUGUGCCAGCAGCCGCGGUAAUACAGAGGGGGCAAGCGUUAUUCGGAAUUAUUGGGCGUAAAGGGCGCGUAGGCGGCCUGGCAAGUGGAAGGUGAAAUCCCUCGGCUUAACCGAGGAACUGCCCUCCAAACUGCUUGGCUUGAGUCCGGGAGAGGUGAGUGGAAUUCCCAGUGUAGCGGUGAAAUGCGUAGAUAUUGGGAGGAACACCAGUGGCGAAGGCGGCUCACUGGACCGGAACUGACGCUGAUGCGCGAAAGCGUGGGGAGCAAACGGGAUUAGAUACCCUAGUAGUCC